rnacentral:lncRNA from 1 species
ACUGGUGGAAAUGAACUACUUAGGACACUGGAUUUUAGAUUUAACAUUUCAUGUGUGUUAAAUUCCAACAAUAACAACAACAAAGUAACCUUUCAUUAGCGGCUGCAUUGUUGUAGGAGCUAAGUGAGUUUUUCGGCACACAAAACCCCCUCUGGGAUUCAAACAAAAAUAAAAACCAGAAGCUCACAUUUCUACCAAUGAAUUGCGCACUGCUGUUCUCAAGAAAGAAAGAAACGGGGGAAAAGUGCUUCAUGCGGUGACUGGAGGUGAAUUUUGGGAUCCCUGACAGGAGAGACGCACUCCUGAAAUGUCACUCUGGGCGAGGGCCGGGCGGCCAGGAGGGCUCCCCAUUAACAUAUUUCCCAGACGCGCCGCUCCUCGGUCCGGCUGAACGCAGCCCUCAGCUCCCUGCGGACCACAGAGCCCAUCAGGCCAGAAGCAGAUUAAAGCUCACACUCUUCAAACUGGCGGCUUGCCGCGGCUUGCCAGAAGGCUGGAGUUCAGCGUACCCUUAAUAGGUCUCUGCGCCUUCUCGCCAUCCCUGUCUCCUUCUUUUGAAAGGAUCGUGCAUCCGACGCAAUUCCGCGGCCGCUGCAGGAUGCCCGCAGCGGGUCUGCAGCCAGGUGCGGGCGGGGCCGGGUGCAGGCGCUAGGGGAGAGCGCCCCCCACCCCACCCCACCCCAACCGGCGGCCGCGCCGAGCACUGUGAACUGUCAGCGGCCACUGAUUUAUAAGACCGAUUUACCUUCCGGAGGGUGUAAUUAUGUUCAUAGUUAAGAAUUAAUCAGGUGAAAGAAUUAUGGAAUAAUCAUUCCCCGGACUUUGAAGGACAAACUAAAUGGAGCCGCACCAGUGCAGCGGCGGUGCCCGCCCGCCGGGAGUCCUUUGCCUCCUUGUUAGUCACAGGAGAGGCAACUGCACUGUUAAUGGCAUGACGGGAGAAUGGGGAGUGCCUCUGCCUGUGAGCCAGGCGGUAGCUUCUUACCGUGGCCCUGCUGUCCAGCGGCUGGCUGGCCUCAACCAACCCAUUGGCCUCCUCGGGCCUCAGUAUUUGCAGCUGCAGAGUGAAGGAACUAAAUCUCUAUGGAAUGUGAUGGUUCUGAGAAGUCUUAAGCAGUUACUGUUUGCUGCAAGGAAGAAAUGAUCACCACACUGGACCCUUCCAUGGUCUGACAUCAUGCUGAUACUGUGAGAAAGAACACAUGUGCAUCUGGAAGUGGCGUAGACUUUUACUACAUAUCACAGACUGAUUGGCUUAAAUAAAUGAUUGGAUUAAAUAAAUGAGAACAAUUUGUACUUGGAC